rnacentral:rRNA from 1 species
UACGUAGGGACCAAGCGUUGUUCGGAUUUACUGGGCGUAAAGGGCGCGUAGGCGGCAAUUCAAGUCAGCUGUGAAAUCUCCGGGCUUAACUCGGAACGGUCAGCUGAUACUGCUUUGCUAGAGUGCAGAAGGGGCAAUCGGAAUUCUUGGUGUAGCGGUGAAAUGCGUAGAUAUCAGGAGGAACACCGGUGGCGAAGGCGGGUCUCUGGGCCAUAACUGACGCUGAGGAGCGAAAGCGUGGGGAGCGAACAGG